GACGAACGCUGGCGGCGUGCUUAACACAUGCAAGUCGAACGGUGAAGCGCCUUCCUUUUUGGUGGGUGUGGAUGAGUGGCGAACGGGUGAGUAACACGUGAGUAACCUGCCCCCUUCUUCUGGAUAACCGCAUGAAAGUGUGGCUAAUACGGGAUAUUCUGGGUCUGUCGCAUGAUGGGUCUGGGAAAGAUAUUGUUUCGGUGGGGGAUGGGCUCGCGGCCUAUCAGCUUGUUGGUGGGGUGAUGGCCUACCAUGGCGGUGACGGGUAGCCGGCCUGAGAGGGUGGACGGUCACACUGGGACUGAGACACGGCCCAGACUCCUACGGGAGGCAGCAGUGGGGAAUAUUGCACAAUGGGCGCAAGCCUGAUGCAGCGACGCCGCGUGAGGGAUGGAGGCCUUCGGGUUGUGAACCUCUUUCGCCAGUGAAGCAGGCCUGCCUCGUUUGUGGGUGGGUUGACGGUAGCUGGAUAAGAAGCGCCGGCUAACUACGUG
rnacentral:rRNA from 1 species